ACGAGUACCUGUAAAAAGGCCAGGGCGGAAGCUACAUCUGUUGUGAGUCCAGACAGACUGAGCAGUCUACCUCGAGAGAUAAAGGGCGACAUCCUCUCCCGUUUGAACGUCGAAGAAGCAGUUAGGACUAGCACCUUAUCAAGUACUUUGAGGGAUGCAUGGACUGAUACGCCAAAGAUAUUUCUGCGUGAUGGAAAUUUUCCAAGAACCAAGUUCAUUACGUUGGUCGAAAUGGUGCUAUCGCUCCACAAGGGAACAAUAGAAAAGUUUGAUAUAUCAGGUAAAGGAAGUUACCAUGAUGAAUUUGCUACGUGGAUGCUCAUGCUGUCAAGGAGAUCACCAAAAUCAGUUAUAAUCAAGUUGAGCUCAUGGCCAAGGUAUAGGAUUCCCUCAUGA
rnacentral:rRNA from 1 species